rfam:Arabidopsis thaliana chromosome 1, complete sequence.
AAAGGUAGAUGUCGAAAUCUCUCUGUUGUGAAGUCAAACAUGAGUAUGAAUUAACAUUAAUGGAUCUUUUUGAUUCAUAAUACUCAUGUUUGGUUUCACAGUAGAUAGAUAUCGACGUCUAUCUUU